GGGAUUGCCUCAGUAACGGCGAGUGAAGCGGCAACAGCUCAAAUUUGAAAUCUGGCCCCUUCGGGGUCCGAGUUGUAAUUUGUAGAGAGUGCUUCGGGGGAGACCACGGUCUAAGUCCGUUGGAACAUGGCGUCAGAGAGGGUGAGAAUCCCGUAUGUGACCGUGGCUCGAGCCCAUGUGAAGCCUCUUCGACGAGUCGAGUUGUUUGGGAAUGCAGCUCAUAAUGGGUGGUAAAUUUCAUCUAAAGCUAAAUACUGGCUGGAGACCGAUUGCGCACAAGUAGAGUGAUCGAAAGAUGAAAAGCACUUUGGAAAGAGAGUGAAACAGUACGUGAAAUUGUUGAAAGGGAAGCGCUGGCAACCAGACCUGUCCGUAGGCGAUCAGCCACUGUUUUCAGUGGUGCACUCGCUCUGCGAUCAGGCCAGCAUCGGUAUCGGCGGUCGGAUAAAGACCUUGGGAACGUAGCUCCUCUCCGGGGGAGUGUUAUAGCCCUCGGUGCAAUGCGGCCAGCCCGGACCGAGGACCGCGCUUCGGCUAGGAUGCUGGCGUAAUGGUUGUCAGCGACCCGUCUUGAAACACGGACCAAGGAGUUGACCAUUGAUGCGAGUGUUUGGGUGUCAAACCCAUGCGCGGAAUGAAAGUGAACGGAGGUGAGAACCCUUAAGGGCGCAUCAUCGACCGAUCCAGAUGUCUUCGGAUGGAUUUGAGUAUGAGCAUUUCUGGUCUGACCCGAAAGAUGGUGAACUAUGCCUGAAUAGGGUGAAGCCAGAGGAAACUCUGGUGGAGGCUCGCAGCGGUUCUGACGUGCAAAUCGAUCGUCAAAUUUGGGUAUAGGGGCGAAAGACUAAUCGAACCAUCUAGUAGCUGGUUCCUGCCGAAGU
rnacentral:rRNA from 1 species